UACGUAGGCAGCAAGCGUUGUUCGGAGUUACUGGGCGUAAAGGGUGCGUAGGCGGCCCUGUAAGUAUGGUGUGAAAUCUCCCGGCUUAACUGGGGAGGGUGCGCUAUAGACUGCGGGGCUCGAGUGUGGGAGAGGAAAGUGGAAUUCCUGGUGUAGCGGUGAAAUGCGUAGAUAUCAGGAGGAACACCGGUGGUGUAAACGGCUUUCUGGACCAUAAACUGACGCUGGAGGCACGAAAGCGUGGGUAGCAAACAGG
rnacentral:rRNA from 1 species